AUGGACCUGAAGACAUUUCAGUGCUACACGGCUGAGGCUCCGGACCUCUUGGAGCAGAUAGCUCAGCUCCUCCAGGAAUGUCAGGAGAAGGAGAUCCUGCUUCCCAAGGGAAUCCGGAACCUGUGUGCCUUGUCCUGGGAGGAACUCUCAGACAUCCCUGCUGACGCCAAACCCUUCCACCAGACCAGGGUGUCUGGUAGACCCCCGCGGCCCUACCCCAACCAGGUCGCCUUACCCCCGGACACCAGGCACAGGAUGUCCAUUGUCACCAGUCAGAUCCUGCUGCCCACUGAGUCCUCCCUGUCUGUCCGCCAGCCAACCACUCGCUUCAGCACCUUGAAGUUCAAGAAAAAGUUCCCUGUUGACCGGGACAACAACAGUGAUAAACAAAUACCGACCUGUAUUCCUGUGACGUCCACUCUGAGGCUUUGCCUGGAGGAGUGUCUGUCCCAUCUCUCCUUCUCUCUCACGUACAAAGAGGUAAACAAUGCCCCCUGUACUCCACGUCUUCACAGCAGGACUCUGGAGGUGUGUUACUGGGCUGUCAACAAGCUCAGACCCAUUCUGGAUCAGAUAAAAGAGGAGAAUGCCCGGCUGGAUCUGAGAGGCCACACACGCCCCAUGGUGGCUCAACACUACCAGGACUAUAAGGUUCUCCAGCUGCCACAGCCAGUCCCAGCCCAUGCAGAGGACUGCCUCUUCCCCUUAAUCCCCAACACCAAGUACUUGAGCUACAACAUCUCCCCAAAACUGCACUACGGCCUGCCUGAUGGAACCAGCUAUCUCUAGUAUCCUUGCCUCGCCACUUCUGCUUUCUACCACUGUUGACUUCCAUGUUUUUCCACCCUCUCUAUCUCUCUCUCUCUCUCUCCCUCCCUCUAUCCUUUCCCUCUGCUCUUUUCACAUACUUAAUCUAUUUUAGCAUGGAGCCCUCCUCUCAGUGUUGUCCUGACUGUGUCUCAGCUACCCAUCUGGUUCAGUAGCAGUGUGCCAGCUGCCCAGUGCCAUGCCCAGAGGGGGCGUUUACACAAACAUCUUCUCUGACAGUCCCUAUGACAUCCUGGUGGCUUCCUUCAAACCCAGUGGCCAUGGUGUUGUGUACCACACAGGCAAGCACAGGUAUGGUCAGAUCCCCAGCUGUUUGAAACCAGAAUACACAAACACAGUUGUUCUCAAAGUGUGGUCGGCGCACCCCUGGGGGUUCGCGAUGGUGCUGCAUAAUAAAAAAUAAUAUUACUAACGACAACAGAUUCAACACAUUUUGGCCAAGGGAUCCGUGGAGUAAGUUAAGAUGGUCUAAUGCAAUACAAUGUAAUAUUAUUAAUCUACAAUGGAUGUUCUUAACCCUGGGCAACAUGGACCUGGGAGGCUCACAGGGAUAUUGGUAUCCACAGUACGCCACCAAUUCUACAUUUUUUCAACUCAAUACUUCUUGUAUUUAAAAAAAAUGUAAAUGCACUGUAUUAGCUUUAAAUUUGCAACAACAAAAAAUCUCUCUGCCACAUGACAAAAUAUGUAGAAUUGCAGGAAAUUAGCUUGGAAACGGCCACAUUGUCUCUCCGAUGCCAAGCGACGGGCCUUUAAAAUGUUUCUUCCCAGGACCAGAGACUUGGUUUGUCCGGCCAUGCACUGCCGAAGUCAUAGUACAACUCAUUGUAUGCAAUUUGUUUAUCUCACUUAAGUAAUGUUCUGAUUAUGAGGGGGUCCCUGAUGAAUUUGCUUCCACAACAGAGGUCCCAGGCAUCAAAAAAGUUGAGAUCCUCUGCACUACAGAUGUGCGGUAAUGGUAGCCAUGCAAUCAAACUUUAGCAGUAAUUUCAAGAGUAAACCGUAUGAGAGUCUGUAAAAGAGUCUCUAAACUAAGGGCCGUGUGUUGUGUGAUCAGGUCCAGCUGGGUUGCCUUGUUGGUGGGAUCCUUGGGAGGUCAGCAGUACACAAGAGAGGGCUGUCUCACCAAGGAGUGGACCUUCAACCCCAGGUCUCAGAAUGAAGUUCUGCACAAAUACAAGGUGUGUGUGUACGUACGUACGUGUGCGUGUGUGCAGCCCAAACACAUCUACUAUAGAUUGUGUGUGUAUUCAUCAGGUGAAUGAGAACAUAACACUGACCUUCAGUAACCACUUGAACAUGACCCUGAUAUUCAGCGUCCUGGCGGAGAAUGACAUCACCUUGAGUCUGAGGGAGGAGGAGCCGGUAAGAACCCAGAAUCUAGGAUAGA
rnacentral:lncRNA from 13 species